rfam:Clostridium sp. SCN 57-10 ABT01_C0016, whole genome shotgun sequence.
ACCGCCCUGCGGGGUGCGACAGCAGGCAUUAUUUAACCUACAAAGCGUUAAUACGGGACCGCGAUCACCGUCCCCGGGCGCAGACCUCCCGCGUGCUUGCGCGCGGAAGUUGGGAGCACCUUAAAGGACGGCUAGCGAACCCACCUGCAAUAGCGGGUUAUUAACCACCUGCAUCGGCCUUGUGGGGCAAAA